rnacentral:rRNA from 1 species
GUGAGGAAUAUUGGACAAUGGGCGCAAGCCUGAUCCAGCCAUGCCGCGUGAGUGAUGAAGGCCUUCGGGUUGUAAAGCUCUUUAGCCGAUGAUUAUAAUGACUGUAGUCGGAAAAUAAGCCCCGGCUAACUUCGUGCCAGCAGCCGCGGUAAUACGAAGGGGGCGAGCGUUAUUCGGAAUCACUGGGCGUAAAGCGUGCGUAGGCGGCUUUGCAAGUUGGGAGUGAAAGCCCAGGGCUCAACCCUGGAAUUGCUCUCAAAACUGCAAGGCUCGAAUUCGGGAGAGGAUAGCGGAAUUGUCAGUGUAGCAGUGAAAUGCGUAGAUAUUGACAGGAACACCAGUGGCGUAAGCGGCUAUCUGGACCGAUAUUGACGCUGAGGCACGAAAGCGUGGGGAUCAAACAGGAUUAGAUACCCGAGUAGUCC